CCAUAGUCCACACUACCUCCUUAUAAAUUCAUACUCCGUAGUUUUACACGUCUUGCAAUAAAUCGAAAACCAUGCAAGUUCUUAAACCCCCAAAGAACUAUUAAGAAGAAUGAAUGAUACAGGAUAUAACAUAGUAUGCCAAAAAGAAGAGGUUUAAUUUUCAUAGUCUCUCAAUCUAACAAAACAUAAUAUACUGAAUCAUUUUAUACACACACAUCCUCAGUUACUCAGAAUUAGGAACUCAACUUCAAAAUAUAGUCAGAGAUA